GCACCAUCAGACCAAGUCCAUCACAAUAAUAAUCUGAUCUUUCAAAUUCAAAAAUAUCCAAAAAUCAUGCAUCUACACAACAAUUUUGCAGCGACACAAAAAUAAGAAUACUGCAGCAACUUUUAGAUUCCAAAGAGCCCUUGUCCACCUGGUGCUUCUUGUUCCAAAUGUCACUCCUUUUAAACUUAACUUUGCCACCCUAGUGCAUGGGGUAUUUAACGGCAAGUCAGCAGCGCGUCAACCAAGGUUCAGGUGCAACGAUUGUCCCAUCUCUCAAGGAUGUGGAGAAUUUCCAGGAAUAUUGAUAUCAAAUUCUACUGCCAUUCAAGUGUGCAACAAAAUUCACUGCAUUGGGAGAGUAUGGCGACAAACGACAUCAUCUUGCAUUUAGUUCUUCUAACCCUGUCCGAUUAAUUAUUGUACAUAUCACAGCAUACCUACUUGUCUUGACGUUCCAAGGUGCCAUUAGGUACUAUCUACCAUCUGAGUUAACACAUUUGUGCAAGGAUGCCCAAGCUCUCCCACAAUUUUUCUGUAGAUAUUGAAGUUUGGAACACCAUUAGGCAGAUAAUUUCACUUCAUCUCUUGCUAGGCCUGACAAGCCCAUCAGUCAC
rnacentral:lncRNA from 1 species